AGACUGAGUCACACAGAGACUCCAGCUGUGCAGCGAACAGACAGGAACCUACAACUGAGAUAACAGCAGACUUUACAACAGUAGAAGAUACAACAGUAGAAGAUACAACAGUGGAAGAUACAACAGUAGAAGUUACAACAGUAGAAGUUACAACAGUAGAAGAUACAACAGUAGAAGUUACUGCAUUUCAACACACGUUUGUAAAGAUGUCUGAGGAAAUCUAUGAAAACUGCGAUGGAUUUAGUGGCAAAAAAAGAAAUAAAAUAGAGACCAUGGAUAUUAAUGAUCAAAUAUACAACAACGAAAGACCCAUCAUGACCUGCAAGAAGGUUGGUGAUCAACAUUCAGGGUCUUGUCAGUGGUGGAAGAGAUACUCUGGAGCUGCUGCAGUGUGUCUGGGGCUGCUGUGUGUUCUCCUACUGGCUGGGAUCAUAGGCCUGUUUCUCUACCAGAGGAACCAAUUGACCAGUUCCAACACCCUGACUGAAGAGAGAGACCAGCUACAGACCUGCGGAAACAACCUUACUGAAGAGAGAGACCAGCUACAGACCAGUUACAACACCCUGACCAAAAGAGAGACCAGCUACAGACCAGUUACAACACUCUGACCAAAGAGAGAGACCAGCUACAGAAAGAGACAGAACGUCUGAAACAAUCUUUAGUUGAGAAAGUGUGUCCUCGAGGAUGGAAGAAGCUUGGUAGCAGUUGUUACUACAUCUCUACUGAGAAAAAAUCCUGGGAGGAGAGCAGACAGGACUGCAGAAAUAGAGGAGCACACCUGGUGGUCAUCAAGAGCCAAGAACAACAGACAUUUGUCAAUUGGUUAUGCGGGGUAAAGAACUAUGUCUGGAUUGGUCUGACUGACUCUGUUACUGAGGGGACCUGGAAAUGGGUGGACGACACACCACUGACCACAAAGUAUUGGAACAGUAAAGAGCCUAAUGGUGGUGGAGCAGAGAACUGUGUGUAUUUCUACUCCUGGUCAUCAGACACAGGAGAAUGGUGGGACUAUGACUGUUCCUAUAAAUACAGAUGGAUCUGUGAGAAAUAGGAUUCAUCCUCUGUACUCUCUGAACUGCUAAAUAGGAUUAUGCUCAGUAUAUCGUACAUAUUUUCUGCUUAUUCAAUUUACCUUGUCAACUACAUACAAUAUGUAACAAUACAAAUGUAGAAUACAUUAUAAUAAAAAAAUAUGCAAUAACAAUACAAUGACUUGAUAAGAGAAGGACUGUUCUGUCUGUUGUUGAGGAAAUUCACCACUAAGGACUCAAAUUCAAAGGAAAUCAAUAUUUAUUAUCACAGUCACAGAGGUUCACUGACUCAAUACAAUCCUGAUGUUAAUUUUUAUUAUUAUUACUUUUUAGUUUAGUCUACUUGCUAAAUAUAUUUCUUAACUCUUCCCGAACUGCACUGUUGGUUAAGGGCUUGUAAGUCAGCAUUUCACGGUAAAGUCUACACUUGUUGUAUUCGGAGCAUGUGAGAAAUAAAGUUUGAUUUGAU